rnacentral:sRNA from 1 species
UGUCCAUAUCCGAGUUUCGUAAAACUCCGCCCACAGUGCAUUUGCAUAGCAGUGAGAAAAACCAGUAUUUUCUAUCUGUGAGUGAAUCAC